GAUGAACGCUGGCGGCGUGCCUAAUACAUGCGAGUCGAGCGAACAGACGAGGAGCUGGCGCCUCUGACGUUAGCGGCGGACGGGUGAGUAACACGUGGAUAACCUACCUAUAAGACUUGGAUAACAUCGGGAAACCGGAGCUAAUACCGGAUAAUAUAUUGAUCCACAGGAUCAAGAGUCGAAUUAGGUAGUUGGUGAGGUAAGAGCUUGAAUCGGCGCCGAUGUGUAGCCUGGCUGAGUGAGUGAUUGGCCACGCUGGAAAUGAGACACGGUCCAGACUCCUACGGGAGGCCGCAGUAGGGAAUCUUCCGCAAUGGGCGAAAGCCUGACGGAGCAACGCCGCGUGAGUGAUGAAGGUCUUCGGAUCGUAAAACUAUGUUAUUAGGGAAGAACAAAUGUGUAAGUAACUAUGCACGUCUUGACGGUACCUAAUCAGAAAGCCACGGCUAACUACGUG
rnacentral:rRNA from 1 species